UUGAUAUAUAAAUCGAUGGAACCUCCAGAGUACAAUCUAUCGAGUAUCACGCUACCAAUGGCGAUAUACUAUGGCAACAAUGACUUGAUGCUAGAUCCUAUUGAUGUGAAGAGGGUUUACAAUUUACUUCCCAACGUAAUAGAUAUGUACGAAGUGCCGUGGCCCAAUUUUAAUCACGUGGAUUUUGUAUUUGCUAAUAAUGCGCCAAAACUUUUGUACGAAAGAGUUUUGAAGGUCAUAAAAGGAAAAUAUCAAAGCAAUGUAACAACGAUAUGAAAAUAGAUACAUUUUAAUGAUGUAGAUGUUAAAUAAAUAAAUAA